UACGGAGGAUCCAAGCGUUAUCCGGAUUUAUUGGGUUUAAAGGGUGCGUAGGCGGAAUUGUAAGUCAGUGGUGAAAUCCUACAGCUUAACUGUAGAACGGCCAUUGAUACUGCAAAUCUUGAGUAUAUUUGAAGUGGGCGGAAUGUGUCAUGUAGCGGUGAAAUGCUUAGAUAUGACACAGAACACCGAUUGCGAAGGCAGCUCACUAAACUAUAACUGACGCUGAGGCACGAAAGCGUGGGGAGCAAACAGG
rnacentral:rRNA from 1 species